rnacentral:rRNA from 1 species
GAUCAUGGCUCAGGACGAACGCUGGCGGCGUGCUUAACACAUGCAAGUCGAACGAAGAGCGAUGGAAGCUUGCUUCUAUCAAUCUUAGUGGCGAACGGGUGAGUAACGCGUAAUCAACCUGCCCUUCAGAGGGGGACAACAGUUGGAAACGACUGCUAAUACCGCAUACGAUCCGACCUCGGCAUCGAGGAUGGAUGAGAGGUGGCCUCUAUUUAUAAGCUAUC